UACAGAGGGUGCAAGCGUUAAUCGGAAUUACUGGGCGUAAAGCGUGCGUAGACGGUUACAUAAGUCGGGUGUGAAAGCCCCGGGCUCAACCUGGGAAUUGCAUUCGAGACUGUGCAGCUAGGGUACGGAAGAGGGAAGCGGAAUUUCAGGUGUAGCGGUGAAAUGCGUAGAUAUCAGGAGGAACACCUGUGGUGUAGACAGCUUACUGGACCAUUUCUGACGCUGAGACACGAAAGCGUGGGUAGCAAACAGG
rnacentral:rRNA from 1 species